UCCCUAGUGGCUCAGUUGGUAAAGAAACUGCCUUCAAUGCAGGAGAUCUGGGUUCAAUUCGUGGUUUGGGAA
rnacentral:tRNA from 1 species